UCCCCGGUAGCUCAAUGGUAGAGCACCCGGCUGUUAACCGGGUUGUUGUAGGUUCGAGCCCUACCCGGGGAGCCA
rnacentral:tRNA from 2 species